GGAGGUGUAGCUCAGAGGUAGAGUGUGUGCUUAGCAUGCACAGGGCCUGGGUUCAAACCCCAGCACACUCA
rnacentral:tRNA from 1 species